rnacentral:rRNA from 1 species
GAGUUUGAUCGUGGCUCAGGUUGAACGCUGGCGGCAUGCCUUACACAUGCAAGUCGAACGGCAGCACGGGAGCUUGCUCCUGGUGGCGAGUGACGAACGGGUGAGUAAUGCAUCGGAACGUAUCCUGGAGUGGGGGAUAACGUAGCGAAAGUUACGCUAAUACCGCAUAUUCUGUGAGCAGGAAAGCGGGGGACCUUCGGGCCUCGCGCUCUUGGAGCGGCCGAUGUCGGAUUAGCUAGUUGGUGAGGUAAAGGCUCACCAAGGCGACGAUCCGUAGCAGGUCUGAGAGGAUGAUCUGCCACACUGGAACUGAGACACGGUCCAGACUCCUACGGGAGGCAGCAGUGGGGAAUUUUGGACAAUGGGGGCAACCCUGAUCCAGCCAUGCCGCGUGAGUGAAGAAGGCC